rnacentral:rRNA from 1 species
UACGUAGGUCCCGAGCGUUGUCCGGAUUUAUUGGGCGUAAAGCGAGCGCAGGUGGUUUAAUAAGUCUGAUGUAAAAGGCAGUGGCUCAACCAUUGUGUGCAUUGGGAACUGUUAGACUUGAGUGCAGUAGAGGAGAGUGGAAUUCCAUGUGUAGCGGUGAAAUGCGUAGAUAUAUGGAGGAACACCGGUGGCGAAAGCGGCUCUCUGGACUGUAACUGACACUGAGGCUCGAAAGCGUGGGUAGCAAACAGG